rnacentral:rRNA from 1 species
GCGCCAUGCCCUACUCGGAUCAGUGCGUUCGAGAAGGCUAUGAGGUGUUUUGCAGAGAACCCGACAGAGAAUGUGACCUGUACUGUACUUGGCACCUCAUUCGACUUUGUGGGUGAGGCCUAUGACUUCUACAACCUGUAUUCAUGGGAAAAAGGUUUUGGCAUACUAUACGGGAAGAUCCGGCUAAAUGUGGAGUGGACGAAAUGCAUGCAAGAUAUAUUCUGUGGUUGUGAGGUGAGUCAAAAUUUUGAUGCCAUCGUUCAUGAAUGUUGGGUGCAGCGGAUACAUUCAAGUGUAUUCUUUGUACUGGCAUCUGAUUAA